rnacentral:rRNA from 1 species
GAUGAACGCUGGCGGCGUGCUUAACACAUGCAAGUCGAACGAGAAGUGGAGACGGAAACCUUCGGGCGGAAGACUUUAUUUCGAGUGGCGGACGGGUGAGUAACGCGUGGGUAACCUGCCUCAUACAGGGGGAUAACAGUUGGAAACGACUGUUAAUACCGCAUAAGACCACAGCACCGCAUGGUGCGGGGGUAAAAACUCCGGUGGUAUGAGAUGGACCCGCGUUCGAUUAGCCAGUUGGCGGGGUAACGGCCCACCAAAGCGACGAUCGAUAGCCGAUCUGAGAGGAUGACCGGCCACAUUGGGACUGAGACACGGCCCAAACUCCUACGGGAGGCAGCAGUGGGGAAUAUUGCACAAUGGGGGAAACCCUGAUGCAGCGACGCCGCGUGAGUGAAGAAGUAUUUCGGUAUGUAAAGCUCUAUCAGCAGGGAAGAAAAUGACGGUACCUGAGUAAGAAGCCCCGGCUAACUACAUG